GAGAAUAUCCAGGAGUCCAAGAGAUCUAAAUUGGAAGAUGGCCUUCCAAUUUAGGUCAGUUUCCAAUUAAGAAGGCCAGGUUUUUAUGAAGCAAUAUUUGUCAAGAAUUCAACUAUCAACUUGCUGGUCCUCUACUUCCCGAAACUCUCCAGCCUACAUUUCUUCCUCUUCUUCGGUUUCUAAACUCAAACUGACUUUGGAAUGAAAGGGAGCAGCUGCUGAGACAAUGGAAAUUUCACUGGGAAUAGCAAUGUUUCUUGGAUCGGCCAUGAUUACCUCAGUGCAAUUAUACUGCUAUUCAGCCGACCACAUCCUCAUAAAGCCAGGUCACUUGAAACAAUGUCUGUCUGGCAAACACGGUGUCAAGAACUACGUAAAUCAAGCUGUGAUCGGUCCUGCAUUCUUCCCUGUCACUGGGACGUCACAUAAGUCUACUGCACUUCCGGCAUGGACAUUCACUUUUGCAGAUGAGGAAACAAGAAUUCAGAGUUGAUUUGCACAUACGAAGCAAAACAAGUGAGAUCCAAGCCUCCAGACUCUACAACAGAUGCUUCCAAUAUCUAUGUCUAAUGAAGUAAACUACUCUGAAAAUCAAAA
ensembl:lncRNA LINC02509 long intergenic non-protein coding RNA 2509